GACGAACGCUGGCGGCGUGCUUAACACAUGCAAGUCGAACGGUGAAGCGCCUUCCUUUUUGGUGGGUGUGGAUGAGUGGCGAACGGGUGAGUAACACGUGAGUAACCUGCCCCCUUCUUCUGGAUAACCGCAUGAAAGUGUGGCUAAUACGGGAUAUUCUGGGUCUGUCGCAUGAUGGGUCUGGGAAAGAUAUUGUUUCGGUGGGGGAUGGGCUCGCGGCCUAUCAGCUUGUUGGUGGGGUGAUGGCCUACCAAGGCGGUGACGGGUAGCCGGCCUGAGAGGGUGGACGGUCACACUGGGACUGAGACACGGCCCAGACUCCUACGGGAGGCAGCAGUGGGGAAUAUUGCACAAUGGGCGCAAGCCUGAUGCAGCGACGCCGCGUGAGGGAUGGAGGCCUUCGGGUUGUGAACCUCUUUCGCCAGUGAAGCAGGCCUGCCUCGUUUGUGGGUCGGUUGACGGUAGCUGGAUAAGAAGCGCCGGCUAACUACGUG
rnacentral:rRNA from 1 species